rnacentral:lncRNA from 1 species
GUUAUUAAUCAACAUUCUCACAUACAAAUGUCAUCACAAGAACUUUUCCAAGGCUUAUAAUGAGGCUGGGCUAACAAGAAAAAUUGGUUCUUCUGGAACACAAAAUCCUUGAGUUAAGAGAGUUAUUUUAACAUUCAAAAUUCAAGUACACUAUCUUUUUAACCAAUUCACUCAUUCCCAACUUCUUUCCUUUUUUUUCUUUUUUUUUUACAGUGAGCUCAUUUUUCAUGCUUUUUCUUUUCUUCUCUUUUUCUUUCUCAUGCUUUCCUUUAAUUCAACACUUGAGCUCAAUGCCUUACUUUUGCCUUUCAAUUUCCCCCGACAACCCCAAACUUGAACCUUAU